UCUGCCUCUCCAGCUCUCUGCUCUUCAGACAACCUGGAUUAAUGAAUCUCUCCAUCUCACAUUCAUUUUCCAUCUCAAAGGAGCCUCCUAAUUGGCUUCAGGUCUCUUCCCCUCCACUCCAGCCUCCUAGCUGUUUUUAGAAUGACCUGCUACCCUGUUUUUAUUCUAUGUUUAAAUCUCUCUCAAUUAUGUCCUUACUCAUUAACUUCUCUUAAUCUCUCUCUCAUUUACUCAUUAGAUCACUUCCUAACAUGUAGUAAGUGACUACUUUUCUAAGACACAAAGCUAAUCACAUUACUCACUUGCUUAAAAAAACCUUUUACUGGCUUUAACCUAUAGAAUAAUAGCCUCAUAACAGUCUAUCCAAAUGCUCCAUCAUCAGCUGCCAUUUACCGUUCAAAAGGUCUUUGCUGUCACACUUCGCAAGAAACCUAAACUCUGUGCACCUAACCUUCUUUAUUUUGUUUGAUACGUGAACCAAGGCCCUAAUGACUGGCAAGGCCUACAAAGAUGGGAAACCCUCACUAGUAAGAGUGACUCAGAGGAACAGAUGACAACCCUUGGGAAAGAGGACAAAAGCAAGACUAGAAAGCUGAAGGAAAUGAAUUUGCACUCCUAGGUCCUAGAUUUGAAUAUGUAUAUUUGGAUAUAUGUAUAUCUGAAUAGGUACAAGUAUAGAUAUAGAUAUCUACACAGAGAUAUAUAGAUAUAGAGAGAGAUAGAUACAUAGAUACAUAUCCAUCCCUACAUCCCUUUCUGCUCUUCUUCCCAGUAAAACCCAUUAAGGGAGUUCUUUGUAUUAAUUUCUCUACACUCUCACUUUUGAUGUGUCCCCAGGUGACUAAAUUAGGCCUCACAUCUAUCAUGACUCUGAAAUUUCCUUAUUAACUUUAUGAGUGGUUUCCUGCUGGUUGAAGUCAAGGACCAAUUCUCUGUUCUCCUACCAAACUGUGAUGGUGAAUAUUGAGUGUCAACUUGAUUGGAUUGAAGGAUGCAAAGUGUUCUUCCUGGGUGUGUCUGUGAGGAUGUUGCCAAAGGAGAUUAACAUUUGAGUCAGUGGAUUGGGAAAGACAGACCCAUCCUCAGAUUGGGUAGGCACCAUCUAAUAAGCUGCCAGAGUGACCAGAAUAAAAGCAGGCAUGAGGACUGUGGAAAGACUAGACUGGCUGGGUCUUCUGGCCUCCAUCUUUCUCCUGUGCUGGAUACUCCUGCCCUCAAACAUCAGACUCCCAGUUCUUCAGCUUUUGGACUCUUGGACCUACACCAGUGAUUUGCCAGGGGCUCUCAGGCCUUUGGUCACAGACUGAAGGUUGCACUGUCAGCUUCCCUGUUUUGGAGGUUUUGGGACUCAGACUGACUUCCUUGCUCCUCAGCUUGCAGAUGGCCUAUUGUGGGACUUCACCUUGUGAUCACGGAACUGUGGCUACUUAGGGGUCCCAGCAGGCUGGUCCUGGGUAUGGUCUGUCCCCGACCUGAGGUCUGGCUGCUCCUGGUUGUCACCAGAACAGUGGCAGACUUGGUAAUACAAGAGGCUCAGCCCCAUCCAGGACCUGGGAUGAUGACAGCCCAGCCUGUGUCUUCCCAUCCCUCGUCUCAAUUCCAGUGGAUAGAGGCCUGCUGCAUGUCCUCAAAGGAUCAUCUCAACAGGUUCCCGUGAAAAUCAGACAACUCCUAUGCCCUGAAAACAAGAUUCUGAAAAACAGAACCGAAGGGUCCCCAGGGUGGAGUCCCACAGAAGGAAGAGCUCCUCAUUUCCUGAAUAAGAUGAGGAGAGGUCCCAAAUGCGGUUCAGCCUCACCCUACAUCCAGUUGUGUGGGGUGGUUGGGUGCGAGAGGCCAAGCCUCAGAGACUUCAUAUUUCAUAGCAGGAUUUGACUCCUUGCUGCUGUGAAGCCUGGGGGCGGCCCUUCUCCCCUGCCGCUAAGUCCUUCCCUGUGAAGAUGGGGCGAAAAGCACCUGCUCCCCAGGACUGUGGUGAGAGAAAGUGUGUGAGGCCCCAGGCACUCAGUGGGCAUGCUCACUGGCAGAUGAUAGUAUCUUUAUUUCUACUGUGGAGUCUUCUAUAAUACCUAUAAAUUUUAUUUAUAGCUCUAAUCAAAUUCAAUUGCCAGAUUCUGUUCCAUGCAUGUCUGUCUCUGUAUGUGUUGCCCAGAAACACUCUUUGGGAGUUAAUUAUAGACCAGUCUCCUAGACUGCGAGCUCCUUGAGAAUGGGCCUGUAUCCUGUUCACUGUCGGAUCCUCAGCACCUGACCCGUGUUUGCUCAGAGUGAAGGACUGUCGUUUGCCCACUAUGCCCCACCCACUCGGACCAUGGAGAAUAGCCCCGCUCUGAGUGGCAGGGAGCUCUGUCAUCCCUGCCAACUUCUCUAUUCUUCACUGACGACAGGGGGCAUUCCAGAAGGGAACCAAAGUGAGACCAGGCCAAACAACCUCACAAAUGUCUCCAUGGCAACAGCUUGUCCUGCCACACACAAAGGAUCCUGGCUAACUAUGCAGCCAAAGGUCAAGUUGUCAGUGUGAGGCCUCUUAGCCAAGCAUGCCUCUCAGAACAAGGCUAACCUUCCUCAUUCUCACUCCUUUUUUCCCAAACAUCAGGAUUGUAACUAGUGAAGACAAUAACCAAGAACACCUUAGGAGGAAUGCUUGUAGAAAUGGGGAACUAGAACACUUUUACACUGUUGGUGGGAGUAUAGAUUAGUUCAACCAUUGUGGAAGACAGUGUGGCAAUUCCUCAAGGAUCUAGAAGUAGAAAUACCAUUUGACCCAGCAAUCCCAUUACUGGGUAUAUACCCAAAGGAUUAUAAAUCAUGCUACUAUAAAGACACAUGCACACGUAUGUUUAUUGUGGCACUAUUCACAAUAGCAAAGACUUGGAACUGACCCAAAUGUCCAUCAAUGAUAGACUGGAUUAGGAAAACGUGGCACAUAUACACCAUGGAAUACUACACAGCCAUAAAAAAGGAUGAGUUCAUGUCCUUUGUAGGGACAUGGAUGAAGCUGGAAACCAUCAUUCUGAGCAAACUAUCGCAAGGACAGAAAACCAAACACCACAUGUUCUCACUCAUAGGUGGGAACUGAACAAUGAGAACACUUGGACACAGGGCAGGGAACAUCAC
rnacentral:lncRNA from 1 species